rnacentral:rRNA from 1 species
CCUACGGGAGGCAGCAGUGGGGAAUUUUGGACAAUGGGGGCAACCCUGAUCCAGCCAUGCCGCGUGAGUGAAGAAGGCCUUCGGGUUGUAAAGCUCUUUCGGCCGGAACGAAAUCGCGCACGUGAAUAACGUGCGUGGAUGACGGUACCGGAGUAAGAAGCACCGGCUAACUACGUGCCAGCAGCCGCGGUAAUACGUAGGGUGCGAGCGUUAAUCGGAAUUACUGGGCGUAAAGCGUGCGCAGGCGGUUCGCUAAGUCAGACGUGAAAGCCCCGGGCUUAACCUGGGAACGGCGUUUGAAACUGGCGGGCUCGAGUACGGCAGAGGGGGGUGGAAUUCCACGUGUAGCAGUGAAAUGCGUAGAUAUGUGGAGGAACACCGAUGGCGAAGGCAGCCCCCUGGGCCGAUACUGACGCUCAUGCACGAAAGCGUGGGGAGCAAACAGGAUUAGAUACCCUGGUAGUCCACGCCCUAAACUAUGUCAACUAGUUGUCGGGGAAGCAAUUCCUUGGUAACGCAGCUAACGCGUGAAGUUGACCGCCUGGGGAGUACGGUCGCAAGAUUAAAACGUUAAAGGAAUUGACGG